UCGGUGGAUCUUAGAAAAUUAU
rnacentral:siRNA from 1 species